rnacentral:rRNA from 1 species
UACGGGGGGGGCAAGCGUUGUUCGGAAUUACUGGGCGUAAAGGGCUCGUAGGUGGCCAACUAAGUCAGACGUGAAAUCCCUCGGCUUAACCGGGGAACUGCGUCCGAUACUGGAUGGCUGGAGGAUGGGAGAGGGAUGCGGAAUUCCAGGUGUAGCGGUGAAAUGCGUAGAUAUCUGGAGGAACACCGGUGGCGAAGGCGGCAUCCUGGACCAUUACUGACGCUGAGUGAGCGAAAGCCAGGGGAGCAAACGGG